AAGAGCCACAGUGGAUCCAGGCCCUGAUGCCUGAGAAGGAGCCAGCUAGGCAGAGCCGGGGAGGAGCACUCCAGACAGACAGCAAUGAACCAUCCAAAAAUGAAGUGAAGAAGACAAUCUCAUUUAUAAUAUUGGCAAAAAGAACAUACCUAGAAAUAAAUGCAACAAAAGAUGCAUAAAACUUGUGUACUGAAAAAUACAAAAUAUUUUUGAAAGGAAUCAAAGAGUAUCGAAUUAAAUGGAAAGAUAUCCUGCAGUCAUGGAUCAGGAGACAUAAUGUUAAGAUGGCCAAACUCCCGAAUUCAUCUAUAGCUUCACAAUCUCUAUCAAAAUCCCAUCUGUCUUUUUACAAGCUGAUCCUCAAAUUCAUAAGGAAAUACAAGGGUUUCAGAAUAGCCAAAACAAUCUAGAAAGAGAAGAGC
rnacentral:lncRNA from 1 species